GGGAUGGAUAAAUACAGAUUGAGAAACAUACUUGACAGCAAGAUAUCAAACUGAUAGCCAGACUAUAAAAUGUAUACAACAUCCUUUUUUAAAUUUUUUAAAAAUGUUUUUUUGAAUUUUUUACAAAGAGCCCUUACUGUAAUGGUCACUUACAUCCUAUCAGUCACAUAACAGCGGUAGAGAUCCCAGGGGUAGCAUCCAGAACUGAGGUGCCCCGAGGAGGACAGAGGCAACAGCAGAAGAGUGUGCUGAGAAAGGACUCUUAAGAGCAAUACAAAGAAAACAGACAAAAAUAUUACCACAAAAUUGUACCUGAGUGACAUAGAUUGGUAAAGUAUUUUACUUUUUUUUUCUUCUUUGCUCUUUGGUCUGAUAAGAAAACGGACAGUUUCAGGUGUGUGGAAUGGGGCGAGGGAAGGAUCAGUUUCAAAUCCAGAAACCUAGUUUAACACUAUGUUAGGCUGCUGCAUUCUUUUCUUAGGGUGCUUAACCCAGACAGCACUUCUAUCUUGUAACCAAUUCCAAUAUGAUCUACCACUAACCAGUUAGGUCCUCAGCAUUCAACUGAAGAGUUCCUGAUAACCUGAUGGAGACAUACUUGUUCUGGCUUCAAUUAGCAUGCUGUCAAGCAUCCCUCUCCAUACUUAACAUGGCAACGGAAAACCCAAGAGUCUUUCUCUUCUUUUCAUUCGACCAUAAAUAUGCACUCAUAAAGGGGAAGAUCAGACACUGCUUUUUAGUAAACAUUUUCUUUCCCUCCCUUUUCCAAUGCCAAGUCCAUAUUAAAAACUUUAGAAACAUUAAAAUGGAAGGGUCUCCCGCUUAGGAAAGAAUUCUCAUUCCAGAACACUCUAUCAGGUAGGAUUACAGUACCAUGCUUGUUUCAAACACACACCCACAGAGGGAUAAAAAGACAAAAUAAAACUUGAUAGUGUGAUACAACAUGAACAUCUCUUAAACCAUCAGGAGCAAACACUCAGUUAAAAGCUGGGUGUCAACAAGCAGCAACACAGGGAAUCUGGGGAGGCAUUGAAGUCACCGAAAGCUUAGUGGGACUGCGAAGGGCUUAUUUCUCACAAUGUGAAGGGUUGCAUAGACUGCUUAAAUUCUCCUAAACCCAAGAGAAUAUCAUUUGUAUUCCAACUUCAAGAUGUUCUAGAAUAUCCCUUUUACUAGCAUUAGUAUCAAAAUAACUUAUUGACAAAAGAACAAUCCUUUAAAAAAACUCAUCUGUCCCCAUGUUCCCGCAAUUCCUGUGUUUCUGUUGGGAAAGAUCUUUAAAAUCCUAUCAUACUGGGCUAAGACUCCUCUAAUUGCCUUUGUCCAGAAGCAAAACAUGAGGAGUAUGCACUUUCAACAUGGGGAAUUAGGUAGCAGAAGCUUAAGGAAAUCCAGCACUGAUGUUACCAUGAUUUUAUUUCUAUAUCCUAAUCCAUUGCUGUUUCCAACUCAAGAUUUGAUUUCUUUUUCUAUCAACACUGGUGAAGCCAAUAAUACAGAACUAUGAAAAAGGAUACAUUGAAUCAAAACACAAAAAAAAUCAUUUAAAGAAAAAAAAAAGAGGAAGCUGAGAGUCUCGGAAACACAUUGAUUCAUGAGUGAGAAGCUUAGACUAAUUCCUACAUAUUUUCUAAACCCAAAAAGCAUAACUGAUAUUCCAGAAGACCAAUUUAGCUUUAAAUUAAUGCUUCACUAGAGUUCAGCCAACAGCAACACAGGUAUCUGAUUAAAAGCCUUCAGGACAUUCCACAGGUGUUUGUUUUUGCCAACGUUAAGAGUCAAGCAAGGUUUUAGUAAUGAGAUUUACAGAACUUGAGGCUCCAGGCCUGCUUACCACCACUUAUCCUUAAUAGUCUAGGUUAAAAGGAGAAAAAAAGCCAUGUUUAACUAGACUAACUUCGGAUGUAUAAAUCCCAUUUCUCACCCUUUGAAGGUGUGAGCUUAGAGAAAACACAGAGUUUAGAAACCACACAAUCCUUUGAAGCCUAAGUUUAUGUAAUUUGAACAAUAGGCAUGCUAGCUGACAGGCACAUCUGCUAACCCAAAUGCAGCAGCUUCAUGCAGAGCACACAGGACGUUCAUGACAUACACAGAGAUCUAAAAAGAGACACUGUAAAUAUCUUAAAACAGUAUCAGGAGGCAAUAAUAUAGAAGUCUUUAAAUUGACCUACAUCAGCAAUGAACUACUAGUGCAAAGGCCAGACUGCAGAGCAUAAAGCAGCUCUUAGGCUCUAGUAAGCACUGUCUAGUUCACUACAGACAGGAGGUCUAAGGAACUAACUACAGAUGCCACGGAGAAUUGCUUGAGGCCAAGUGGGUAUGUCUGCCUCUGUGGUGAAGGAGUGCAUAUGAUUAGAAAAAAUGUGACACUUGAUGAGAAAAACUGAAUGCUGGAAAAGACAUUUUCAUAAUCAUAUCAGUGAUUGAUUCCACAAAGAUACAGAUCCAAACUAAAUAAACUUUUGGGAAGGUCAGGAAGGAAAGUAGACUCCACCAAACAAAAUCUAAACAAAUAGAAAGCCUAGAUUUAGUAAACACAUCACACAUCUACCAAUUACCUAGCACAACACAGAAAAUAUCAGGGAGAUAGAGGAAAAUGUCAUCUAUAAAAAUGAAGUAACACUCUAAGUAAUACUGGUUUAUAAGUCGGCAGAGAGCUCAUUUUACACAGCAAUGGCAGGCACUCUAGAGAGUUCAAAUAUGCAGAGAUGCAGGACAUUAAUUCACCUUAAGGUUUACUGUACAAAUUCCUUCCUAUAUUAGGCCAGUGCAUCAACAAUUCCAACUGCCUCAGUUUUCUCCCCAACCUACUCCUGGCAAGCAGCAGCACAUGUACAACUCCUGUCUCCCCAUGCCUUCCAAUGAAAAAUAUUCAAUUUUUCUAUACAGACUAUUUGGCGUAAAGGAAGCUGCAUUAAAAAUAAGGACAAAUUCAAACUGCAUCAUCUUUUCCAUAGCCAAAAAGACCAUGAAGACCAAAGAAUAUCACAUCAAAUGAUCUGUGGCUUGGUGGCAUUUUCAGUUACACAACCUGGUUUAGAAUUCUUUCUAGCCCCUUGACAGAUUUCUUGCCUCAACAAAAGUGAUGAGUUUUGAGUGCUAGGAUCUUGAACACCAAUUAUCCUGAAAUCUGCACCACAAUCAAGCACCCAUAAGAAUAGAACUUCUGAUCCAUUUUUUUAAAGGACUCUUAGAAAUCUUCUGAAAAACCUCUGCCUAGAAACUAAAGCCACCAAAGAUGGACAAUCUGGAUCUGUGGACUAGGCUUGCUCACCCUCAUGACACCAGUACUGUUAAAUUCACAAGCUCCAAUCUCUGAAUCGUAUAGGUUGCAAAAAUUAAGGAUGCAGCUGUUUCCCUUCAGAUAUACAGAUAAAAAGCAAGUCUUACAUUCAUAAUGCAAUUUAAAAUACAAUACCCUAAAAACACCCAAUCACAAUUUCAUUGUUUUCAGUAUCCUCUAGCUCCAUGGCUUCUCCCAGAGCUAUUCUCAUAUAUGGUCUGGGCUUUCAUAGGCAGGAUAUACAGCACAUCCCCCUUCCCUUCAGAGACCCUGAGACUGCUCUCACUUGAACACUUUCCCAAAGCCCAACUUGAAAAAAAGACACACCCGAUUCUGUAGGGCAGAAGCCAGCCUUGCUCUCCAAUCCUUCUUCCUCAACCCCACCUUUGUUCUGUAUCAAAAGGAAAAGGGAGGGUUAAAGGGGAAGUUUUUA
rnacentral:lncRNA from 1 species